rnacentral:rRNA from 1 species
CACGUAGGGGGCGAGCGUUGUCCGGAUUUAUUGGGCGUAAAGAGCUCGUAGGCGGUUCGGCAAGUCGGGUGUGAAAUUUCGAGGCUCAACCUCGAAACGCCACUCGAUACUGCUGUGACUGGAGUCCGGUAGAGGAGUGCGGAAUUCCUGGUGUAGCGGUGAAAUGCGCAGAUAUCAGGAGGAACACCAACGGCGAAGGCAGCACUCGUGGGCCGGAUACUGACGCUGAGGAGCGAAAGCGUGG